UGGGGAAUAUUGGACAAUGGGGGCAACCCUGAUCCAGCCAUGCCGCGUGAGUGAUGAAGGCCUUCGGGUUGUAAAGCUCUUUUGGCGGGGACGAUGAUGACGGUACCCGCAGAAUAAGCCCCGGCUAACUUCGUGCCAGCAGCCGCGGUAAGACGAAGGGGGCUAGCGUUGUUCGGAAUUACUGGGCGUAAAGCGAGUGUAGGCGGUUGCCGUAGUCAGGUGUGAAAGCCUUGAGCUCAACUCAAGAAAUGCACUUGAUACUGGGUGACUAGAGGACCGGAGAGGAUAGUGGAAUUCCCAGUGUAGUGGUGAAAUACGUAGAGAUUGGGAAGAACACCAGUGGCGAAGGCGGCUAUCUGGACGGUUACUGACGCUAAGACUCGAAAGCGUGGGGAGCAAACAGGAUUAGAUACCCUGGUAGUCCACGCCGUAAACGAUGGGUGCUAGACGUUGGCGAGCUUGCUCGUCAGUGUCGCAGCUAACGCGUUAAGCACCCCCGCCUGGGGAGUACGGCCGCAAGGUUGAAANUCAAAUGAAUUGCGGGGUCUAGCUGUUUCCU
rnacentral:rRNA from 1 species